UACGUAGGGUGCAAGCGUUGUCCGGAAUUAUUGGGCGUAAAGAGCUCGUAGGCGGUUUGUCGCGUCGGCUGUGAAAACUCGGGGCUCAACCCCGAGCCUGCAGUCGAUACGGGCAAACUUGAGUGCGGUAGGGGAGACUGGAAUUCCUGGUGUAGCGGUGAAAUGCGCAGAUAUCAGGAGGAACACCGGUGGCGAAGGCGGGUCUCUGGGCAGAUACUGACGCUGAGGAGCGAAAGCGUGGGGAGCGAACAGG
rnacentral:rRNA from 1 species